CAAUAGCGUAUAUUAAAGUUGUUGCAGUUAAAAAGCUCGUAGUUGGAUUUCGGGGCAGCCUGGCUGGUCCGCCGCAAGGCGAGUACUUGUCAGCCGCCCUUCCUCUCGAAAGCCCCGACUGCUCUUCGUUGCAGUGGUCGGGUAGUUCGGGACGUUUACUUUGAAAAAAUUAGAGUGUUCAAGGCAGGCCUACGCCUGAAUACAUUAGCAUGGAAUAAUGGAAGAGGACCUCGGUCCUAUUUUGUUGGUUUCCAGGGCCGAAGUAAUGAUUAAGAGGGACAGUUGGGGGCAUUCGUAUUUAAUUGUCAGAGGUGAAAUUCUCGGAUUUAUGAAAGACGAACAACUGCGAAAGCAUUUGCCAAGGAUGUUUUCAUUAA
rnacentral:rRNA from 1 species